rnacentral:rRNA from 1 species
GACGAACGCUGGCGGCGUGCUUAACACAUGCAAGUCGAACGGACAGGCCCUGCUUUUGUUGGUUGCUCGAUUGGCGCACAGGUGAGUAACACGUGUGUAACCUGCCCCUAACUUUCGGGUAACUUCACGGAACUGGGGCUAAUACCGGAUAGAAUCUACUGAUGCAUGGGGGGGGUUGGAAAGAUUCGGCGGUUGGGGAUGGACUCGCGGCUUAUCAGCUUGAUUGUGGGGUAGUGGCUUACGAAGGCUUUGAAGGGUAGCCGGCCUGAGAGGGUGAACGGCCACCUUGGGACUGAGAUAGGGACCAGACUGGUACGGGAGGCAGCAGGGGGGAAUAUGGCGCAAUGGGCGGAAGCGUGAGGUAGAAACGUCGCGUGCGGGAUGCUCGGCUUUGAGUGGUAAACCGCUUUCGAAUGUGACGAGGAGUGAUUGACGGUAAUGGGUCAAGAAGCAACGGCUAACUACGUG